GCUUCCUUAGCUCAGCCGGUUAGAGCAUCUGACUGUUAAUCAGAGGGUCCCUGGUUCGAGCCCAGGAGGGAGCGCAA
rnacentral:tRNA from 3 species